UCCUGCACGUAGGAAUUAUAGCAAAGGCCUCUCCCAUUAACCCCUGAUUUUUCCCGCUGCAAUCAACCAAUCAGAAGUCACGUUUUUGCAAAUAUUUUUGCAUUCUCUAAUCUCCACCCGUAAAACCUGCGUAUUAUUUAGGCGAAAUAUUACUGGCAAGUUUGAUGGAGCCUACUUAUUGGAGUUGCUAGCGGUGUGCAGGGGGUUUGCUCGGUUCUCAACGGGAGAGAACGCGCAUCUUCAGAGGUAGUUGCAGGGGCCGCCAAAACAGAAUAUUCAGAGGACGCAGUCACUCAAAAGACAUGGUCGUCAAAAAGGGCCUGCAGGUUGAAAGGAACAGCUGGCGAAAAUCACAUGGCAGCCUGCAUAGCAUGGAUUCGAGUGACACAACUGCUGAUUAGGGUUUGUGCACGUGUUUGCAUGCGGAAAUGACCUGUUAUUUCACAAGUGUGUUAUGGACAGUUUCUGUCAUUGUGUCGCUCAAAUUUUCCCCUGGUGCGUGUAGAUUCGGUAUUAGAUCAGAGUCUGACUCGUUGAAGUUUUUCCAAUUCUGAAAGCCAUGGAAUUCUUUUGUUAUGUCGUUUUCGGAGUAAUGACACUUGUGGUAGCAGCUUUGGAGCUCACCAAGGGUUCCAAAGAUCGCCUUCCUACUCCGGCUUCCUUUAAACUUUCAAGAACAAUUAUCUUGUCUUCUAUAGUCUCAUGAUAGCUAAGCUAGCCCAAUUUUCAUUCUUAACACAAUUUACAUUCAAAUAAUUUUCUAAGCUUAGAUCUGAAAUCAAAAGAAUCUUCACAUAUUACAAUUUAAGAAUUGAAGGUUAGAUAAACCUUAGAAAUCGACAUAUAAAAUGUGUUCAGAGCAAGAUUCGGGAAUAAAUGACUGUUACCCAGAUUUGUUGUUUCUUUUACUGUGUUUUUAAGAUAUUUAUGUGGCAAGUUGCUGUCAUUUUAAUUUGUAAGGUUUGGCUGGGAAAAAACACUCUUUAAUUAAAGCUUUAGGUGACUCUAAGUUGAGACUUUUCUACAAGUUUCAGUUUACUUGAGUAGAUUGUGAGAAGCACCUCACAUUGUUGUUUUAUUUUUGUCUCGCUGAAACUAGGCUAUUCGUAUAAUGCAAUGCGGGUGCACUUGGAUUGCUUUCUUAAUAUUUUAAAACUUUGGUCAUGCUUAAGUGUACCCCCAAUCAUUAGGCCACAUUCUACCCGUUUGUUGGUUGUCGGCCUUAUUAUAGUGCGGGGACUUGAAAGUCAGCUUACACCUUUGUUACCAUCAUACGACAAACCCUCGGAUCAUGUCCAUUCAUUUUAUGAUAAGCUUUUUUACCAUCUGUGGUUUAGUUGAUAUUUUAUAUUUAUAUCUUAGCUGUUAAAAGAUUUGUGGAAUUUCAAGAAUGAGAUCAUUCAAAUCAUUAAGCAUCUACUCCUGGUCCCAAGAAUAACAUUCCACAAGCAGAAUGUGAUCCAGGGUGUUGAUAUACAUCCCUUUUAGAAUUUCAACCAGGCAAAGUAGUUUUUAAGUUUCAAUCUACUUUUCUAAUACAGAGAUCAACAUGUAUUAUCCUCAAGUCAACUAUGUACAUGAUAUUAAAUUUACCACUUAAUGUGCCCAAGCAACCGAUGUUUUGAAUUUUGCCCAGUGCAUUUGUUGUUCAUGUCAAUUAGAUGUUAUUGAGCAUUUGGCCCUCCAUAUAUACAAGCAUGGUCAUAUAUAAUUUAAACACUUGCUGACUAUGUUAGCCUUAUUAUCCAUGUGUCUCGAUGGCCUUAGCCUAAUCACUUAAUAACCCUUGCACAGCGGCAUAAUAGGCAUAACUCUGCUCACCUAAGGCAUGCUUGAGGCCCAUGCACGCUAUUAAUCUCACUUUGAUAAAGCAUACAAAGCAUUCAUAAAUAUUCAUGGAAAAAGCAUUACGUACUGAUUUUUGCAAACCUUUGCUAUAUCUAUUUGUGAGUUAAAAGCUAUGUGUUACGACUGUUUACAAAGGGUUCCAUGUAGACAUUUAUUCGUAGUGCCAACUGAAUAUAUUCUAGGAUUGUUUUAAAGCUAACUCAAGUUGUUCCUGGUUUUAAUUCUAUCUUUGGUUUAUACAACUCCAUCUUGGAUUCUUCUAGAAGCAUGGAGGCAAAAAAAAUUCCAAUUACUUUUCGUAAAAGCUAGCCCAUCAUUUUUAUUUUGUAAUACAGUGUUUUCUACGCUCAAAAUACGUUCUUCUGGAAUUCUUAUCCCGUCUUAGAUUCUUAUGCACUUUCUUCUAUUUAUGGUGCAACUAAAUCUAUCCAAACCUGUCCUGCUCAAGUAUGUAAGAUGUAUGGCAAUUGUUUGAUAAAAUGCCUUGUCUGAGUACCUUCUUCUAUACUGUAAUGAUAAGGGUAUGCCAACAAUGGUUAUAUCAGGAGGCACUUGAUCUACACGAUCAAAUGAAAUGGGCAGUUGUGGAGUUUGAUUCUUUCACCUAUCUGUUACUUCUCAAUGCUUGUACUACUUUGUCCAAUAUGCAACAAAAAAAAUGGAUUCAUGAUUUAUUGUAACAAUGAUGUCUCCAACUUCUUGGAUUUUGUGUAUUUGAGGCUUGUGUGGGGAUAUUCUGGCCCUCAAUAAUGAAAAUGCGAUCACAAUAUAUUCCUGAGGAGGCUCGAAGCACAAUUAUGAACUUUUUCCACAUGCCUUUGAACAUAUUUGUUUGUGUUGUGCUAUACAAUGUAAGCCCACAAGAUCUUAGUAUGCAUUUUGCUAAUACAAAAUAACCUAUGUUACCCCGAGUUUCCAGGAUGGGACGGCAAGGGAUGGGGGUAUGUAAGAACCUCAAAAGGCCCUCAACUGAGACAACUAACGUUUUGCUGAACCUGUUGCGUUUCAAGUGUGUUCUUUGCAAAUAAUGACAGCAAAUAGAAUUUUGACAAUCUUAAGCACAAAAAGCAACUAAUGGUAUUUGCUGGAAAUCAAUUUAUAUGCAACAACACUGAUCAAACCCUCAUUACAUCCGUUCAUCAUUUAUUUAAUAAAUAUAACAAGCAGCUAGAGAAGAACUGAUAAAUACCAGUAUAUUCUGUUAAAACCCUUAUUUUCCUAUUGCUGGUCAUGCACAGAUUUUAUGACAGCAAGCUGCAAUUUAUUUUAAACUGACCCAAAAUACUCGCAUGUUAGCCCGAUGGAAAGGCAUUGGCAAGGCGUCCCUUCUGGCAUUUGUUUCGGAAUUUUUGGACUCCUCCUCAGCAAAAAUCGUACCCUUUCAAGGAAGAAAGGUACGGCAGAUCAGCAAGCUGUACAUGCACAAAACCCUCAUCUGUCACACACUUAUUCCUGCCUCUGUUCUGACUCUGCGGCUGCAAUCAAUCUUUUGCAUAAAAAUUAAUAAACCUCUUUCCAAUCUGUCCAAUCUUGGUUUCUGGAUAAAACCAACUGAAAGAGCAAGAUCAGCUGAUAUUUCACAACCUCUGAUGUUGUUGCACAAGAAUCCCACGUUUUCCUAUACCGAUACCUCUGAUCAUUGCAGAAGAAUCUUUUGCUGAAACCCUAGGCCAAAACUCUUCUCAGAGCUCCAAACAAAAAUAUUGAAACUUAGCAUAAUGAAAAAGAAGACCUAAAAUCUUCUUUAAUCUUCUCCAUUUAGGGUUGGCGCGAUUCCCAAGAAAGGUGCGACUUGGCCUUUAAUGAUGUUUUAACUUUUAUUAUUUAUUUUUGACUAUUGAAGUGUCAAAAAUAAAUCAUCUUCCAUUUAAUAUAAAAACUGGCCCCAUCUGAUGAGAAAUAGACCCUCACUUAAGUUAUAACUUAAAGUGACUUUUUAAAACAUUAAAACAUUAAAGUUCGCCAUUUAAUAUUUAAUUAAAAAUAAUUAAAUAUUAAUAUCUCUCUAAGUAUUCAUCAGAAAUGCCUGCCAUCUGAACUGGAGACUGCCAAACCAUAAUCUAUCCUUGCCCAACCUACUAGCUAUAAAUAGCAGGACUGCUAGAAAUAGAAAGUAUCUCAAACAGAGUCCUGGAGACCUCAAACGAAGACCAGACCUGGAGUGCUUUCUUUGAAGGUGGUGAAUCAAACUCUGGAGGACCCUCUACCCAACCUCAUCAGCCUACGAGGGUCAGUGAUAGGCUAAUCUACUCAGCUGACAGAUGUCAACUAGAAGGGGACAUCAUAGUCCGCCCCUCCCGAAAUUGCUUGUCCUCAAGCAAUCUCAACUCCGGAUGCUGUAAAAUCUCCUCGCUCUCCCAAGUAGCAUCCUCUACCGGCAAAUCCUUCCAUUUCACCAGGUAUUCUGUGAUAGUUUGUCUCCUGAAAUUCCUCUCCCUGAACUCAAUGAUAGCCUCAGGUAUGAGUAUCAACUUUCCCUCAUCAUCCAGGGGUGGUAAGUCCGUGGAAGGAACAAUACGGUGUCCCAACGCCUUUUUGAGACUUGACACAUGAAACACAUUGUGUACUCUGCUAUCUGCCGGUAAAUCCAACUCAUAAGCCACCUCACCUAUACGCGUGGUUACUCUAAAAGGGCCAUAAUAUCGAGGUUUGAGCUUCUCUGCUCCACUCCUCAUAAGAGUAGACUGUCGAUAAGGCUGCAACAUCAAAUACACCAUGUUUCCUACCUCAAAUGACCUCUCUGCCCUCUUCUGAUCAGCAUAUUGUUUUUGCUGAUUUUGUGCCUUGGCUAUAUUUUCCUUAAGAGUCUUCACAAUGUCCUGACUCUCUUGUAUCAUGUCUCCCGCAUUAGGCACCCUACUGUCACUCAGCAAUAAGUCAAUGAAACUGGGAGGUUCAUACCCGUACAGUGCUAUAAAUGGAGUCAUUUGAAUGGACAUGUGGUGAGUGGUAUUGUAACAGUACUCACAGAGGUAAAUCCACUCCACCCACGCCUUUUGCUGCCCUGAAAUAUAGUUCCUAAGGUAUCCCUCCACCCAUUUGUUAACUAUCUCAGUCUAGCCAUUAGUCUGAGGGUGGUAACUGGUACUCGGUGUAAGAUCGGUCCCACAGAGUUUGAAAAGCUCCUGCCAAAAGUGGCUCAAAAACCGCGUGUCCCUAUCACUAACAAUAGUCCAAGGCAACCCAUGUAAUCUGAAUACCUCUUGAAGAAUAACUCUGCUACCUAAAUAGCUGAAUAAGUGGUGGUGAUCGGAUAGAAGUGAGCAUACUUCGUCAAACGAUCCACAACCACAAAUAUGCAAUCACGUCCCUACGCUCUUGGUAACCCUGUGAUGAAAUCCAUAGACAAACAUUCCCACUUCCUGUCAGGAAUUGGAAGUGGCUGAAGUAAACUAGCAAGGUAUGUAUGCUCCUGUUUAUUCUGUUGACAAACAGGGCACUCUCUAACAUACUGUAGAACAUCCGCCUUGAGCCCUUUCCACGUGAAGCACUCAUGCACCUGUAUGUAGGUUUUGAAAAACCCGGGAUGUCCUGCUAUCGGUUCAUCAUGACAGAACCGUAGUACCCUACUCCUCAACUCUGAUCCUGGGAUCAAGUACACUCUCCUCUUGUAAAUGAUCAAUUCAUUUACAACUGUAUACCUGCUGUCCACUACUGACCCCUCUAUCACACCUACAACCCAGCUAUCUUUGGCGUACUCAGCCACUAUAAUAUGCCGCCAAUCCUUUGCUAUCUAGACCAUAGAAUUCAGGUGGGGACGACGUGACAAGGCAUCUGGAACUACAUUCUGUGUGCCUUUGAUAUAGGAAAUAUCAAAGUUGUAAGCCUGAAGUUUGCUGACCCACUUUUGUUGCUUGUCAUUUAAGUCACGCUGCCCAAGGAAAUGUCUCAAACUAUUGUGGUCAGUCUUAAUGUAGAACUUGCUGCCCACUAAGUACUGUCUAAACUUGGCCAGUGCAUGCAUUAUGGCCAACAUUUUCUUAUCAUAAAUGUCGUAAAUUCUCUCAGGUCCAUUGAUUUUCCUACUCUCAUAAGCAAUAGGGUGCUUGUCCUGCAUAAGCACCGCCCCAAUGCUCUCACCAGAGGCAUCACAUUGUAGCUCAAAUGACUUCGAGAAGUCAGGUGUAGCAAGUACUGGACAUGAAGUCAUGAGCUCCUUGAACCUCUCAAAACACUCCUGGGCCUCAGGAGUCCAUAAGAAGGCACCCUUUUUCAUCAAGUCUGUCAAAGGCGCCACAUGGCGCGAAUAACUGUUAACAAAACGGCGGUAGAAACCACAUAGGCCCAAGAACCCACGCAACUGAGUGAGGUUCACUAGAGUAGGCCAAUCUACAAUAGCACAGAUCUUCUCGGGAUCCAUCCGCACUCCCUCUGCACUGAUAAUAUGGCCCAAGUACAAUAACUUAGUCAUUCCAAGGUCACAUUUGGAUUCCUUGGCAUACAAGGACUCCUUGCUCAGAAUGCUCAAAACUGUAUCUAGGUGACUGAGGUGCUCCUCCCAAGUACGACUGUAAACCAAUAUAUCAUCAAAGAACACCAAUACUGAUUUCCUCAACUGAUGUCUGAAGACUUUGUUCAUUGUGGACUCGAAAGUAGCAGGAGCAUUGGUUAGCCCAAAUGGCAUAACCACAAACUCAAAAUGUCCAUAAUGACAACGAAAAGCAGUCUUCUCAAUAUCCUGCUCACGAACACUGAUUUGGUGAUAGCCUGAUCUCAAAUCAAUCUUUGAAAAAUAACAGGCCCCAUGUAAUUCAUCUAUGAGCUCAUCAAUACGCGGGAUGGGAUAUCUGUUUCUGAUCGUCCGCUUAUUAAGGACCCUGUAAUCAAUACACAUCCGCAAUGUGCCAGCCUUCUUCACCAAAACAACUGAAGAAGCAAAGGGGGACUUACUAGGCCGAAUAUGUCCCAUGGCCAGAAGCUCCUGUAUGGUUUUCUCUAUUUCAUCUUUCAGGCGCUUCGGAUGUCUAUAUGGAGUAAUCAUUACUGGCUUCGCUCCCUCCUCUAGCUCAAUGAUGUGCUCAAAGCCCCUAUUUGGUGGCCUCCCUGAUGGUAUGUCACUGAAAACCUUGCUAUGUUUGGUUCUCAGUAUCUGAAUGUCCGGAUGAUAUUCAACUUUUUGAGCAUCUUGCUGUAUGGGCAUGAUCAUACACUCUGUUGCCCACUCAGUCUGAUCAUGGCGUACAAGCCUCUCCAUCCGCUUGAGUGUAAUCAUUCUGAAAUUGUUGUUCUUAAUCGCUUUCAGCACAUGUGUUUUCUCAUCAAUGGUGAAAGACAUCUCCAUCUCCUGCAAGUCAAGUGUAAACUUGCCUAGUUCAUGCAACCCCUUCAUACCAAGGACCAAAUCUGUGUCUCCCAUCUGAACCACAUAGAAAUCAGUCUUGAAUUCAUAAUUGUUUAAACGUAAUGGGAGUUGUGUGAUCAUCCUAUUACACUUUAAAGUGUAACCAUCUGCCACCCUCACACGAAUGCCCUCAAACUCCUCUGUUUGGAUUCCUCUCUUCUCCACCAACCUGGCAUCAAUAAAGUUAUGUGUGGCUCCGGUAUCCAGCAGUUUGGAUUCCUCUCUUCUCCACCAACCUGGCAUCAAUAAAGUUAUGUGUGGCUCCGGUAUCUAGCAGUGUAAUAAAUUUCUGACCAGCAAGUACUCCUCUCAUUCUAAAUGACCCUUCCCGUUGAAUACUCGUGAGAAGUGCCUCCUUAAGGUGCUCAUCACCCUCUGCAUCCAUUUUGUCGAGUCUCGGAGGACCCUGUGUGUCAUCUUCAGCCCCUAAAUUCUCAUAACCAGCAGGCUGACCUUCAUGAUCAGAUUCAGAAUCUUCAUAAUAUGCCCACAUUACUCUGUUUGCCCUGCCCUUAGGCCUCAAAGGACAGUCAUGGUUGGCAUCAUAUGGACCUUUGCAAUAAAAAUAGAGUUUUUUUUGCCUUAAAUCGUUAAGUGUCUCCCGAUCUAAGGGAGGGGCUACUAGCUUUGGCUUGUAAUCAUUUCUAAAGUCUGAUUUUUCUUUCCCUUUGCUGAAAUUCCUAUUAUCUUUGAAAGAUGUUGAUCCUUUUGUCCCAAAUUUAUUUUGAGUGGCUGUCCCAUCCAUACUCCGUGCCUUUUUAAUGGCGAGUAGAAGUGUUGGGGGAUCAAAUGCCUUUACCCAGCCUCUCAAAGGCUCCAUGAGUCCCUCUAUAAACAACACUACUAAUCGCUGAUUUGACAUGUCAUUUACCAUGCAUGACAGCUUCAAAAACUUUGAAACAUACACCUCCAAGUUCCCCUGUUUGUUUCAGCUGUGCUAACUCCCAGAAGUAUGACUCAGGGUCUUUCUUAUCAAACCUCUCAACUAACAAAUCAGCAAACUCUUGGUAGGUGGUAAUCUCAUCAUGUUGGAGAGUGAUGAGUCCAUUAUGCCACCACUCAUGUGCAGUACCGUCCAAGUGUAAGGUUGCAAACUUAAUUGCUUCCCUUUCAAUCAUGGGUCUCAGUAUGAAGUAUGUAUCCAGUUUAUGGAUCCAAGAUCUAGCUGUAACUGCACCGCUGCCAUCAUAAUAAGGUAGGGUGAGCUUGCUUGUUUCAAACUCAAGAUCUCUAUGUUGGGAACGAAGCCUCCUCUCUUGCCUGUUUCUCUCUACCUCCCGUUUUUGCCUCAUGAACUGAUCAAAAUUCAGAUUCUGCCUCACAUCAGGUGGAAGAAGACUCCACUCAUCAUGUACCGUCAUAACAUUAUCAACAAAGACGGGUUCUGCCUCAGCUCUGGCAACAUCCUCAGGUUCGUCUGCCAAAAAAUUAGGCCUUGAAGGCCUGUCAACUGUGCAUGUAGCUACCCUGUGAGGUCUAGGAAUAUUGGCUACACUCCUAUUGUCCUUUGGUUCUUGAUUGUUUCGGUUUGGAGGAUUCAUACGCUUCAUCAUGGUGGUGAGUGCCUGUAAAGCCUAAGCAACCUGCUGCUACCUAGUGGCCAUAGUCCUAAAAAAUUCUCUUGUCUCCUCAUCCUUAGCUCUGUGACCUCUGGUUGGACUGCCUGUAUGCCUUUCACCCAUGGUAUUUGACUGCCUGUUAAAACUCUGUUCUCCUUCAUGAAAGGCUCUGUUGCGUGUGUAAUACCUGUGUGAACCCGUUUCCUGCGACUGCAUGUAAUUGCUAAACCCUUAGGAUGGCAGGAUUUAGCUCUGAUAUCACUGUAAGAACCUCAAAAGGUCCUCAACUAAGACAACUAACGUUUUGCUGAACCUGUUGCAUUUCAAGUGUGUUCUUUGCAAAUAAUGACAGCAAAUAGAAUUUUGACAAUCUUAAGCACAAAAAGCAACUAAUGGUAUUUGCUGGAAAUCAAUUUAUAUGCAACAACAUUGAUCAAACCCUCAUUACAUCCAUUCAUCAUUUAUUUAAUAAAAAUAACAAGCAGCUAGAGAAGAACUGAUAAAUACCAGUAUAUUCUGUUAAAACCCUUAUUUUCCUAUUGCUGGUCAUGCACAGAUUUUAUGACAGCAAGCUGCAAUUUAUUUCAAACUGACCCGAAAUACUCGCAUGUUAGCCCAAUGGAAAGGCAUUGGCAAGGUGUCCCUUCUGGCAUUUGUUUCGGAAUUUUUGGACUCCUCCUCAGCAAAAAUCGUACCCUUUCAAGGAAGAAAGGUACGACAGAUCAGCAAGCUGUACAUGCACAAAACCCUCUUCUGUCACACACUUAUUUCUGCCUCUGUUCUGACUCUGCGGCUGCAAUCAAUCUUUUGCAUAAAAAUUAAUAAACCCCUUUCCAAUCUGUCCAAUCUUGGUUUCUGGAUAAAACCAACUGAAAGAGCAAGAUCAGCUGAUAUUUCACAACCUCUGAUGUUGUUGCACAAGAAUCCCACGUUUUCCUAUACCGAUACCUCUGAUCAUUGCAGAAGAAUCUUUUGCUGAAACCCUAGGCCAAAACUCUUCUCAGAGCUCCAAACAAAAAUAUUGAAACUUAGCAUAAUGAAAAAGAAGACCUAAAAUCUUCUUUAAUCUUCUCCAUUUAGGGUUGGCGCGAUUCCCAAGAAAGGUGCGACUUGGCCUUUAAUGAUGUUUUAACUUUUAUUAUUUAUUUUUGACUAUUGAAGUGUCAAAAAUAAAUCAUCUUCCAUUUAAUAUAAAAACUGGCCCCAUCUGAUGAGAAAUAGACCCUCACUUAAGUUAUAACUUAAAGUGACUUUUUAAAACAUUAAAACAUUAAAGUUCACCAUUUAAUAUUUAAUUAAAAAUAAUUAAAUAUUAAUAUCUCUCUAAGUAUUCAUCAGAAAUGCCUGCCGUCUGAACUGGAGACUGCCAAACCAUAAUUUGUCCUUGCCCAACCUACUGGCUAUAAAUAGCAGGACUGCUAAAAAUAGAAAGUAUCUCAAACGGAGUCCUGGAGACCUCAAACGAAGACCAGACCUGGAGUGCUUGCUCUGAAGGUGGUGAAUCAAAGUCUGGAGGACCCUCUACCCAACCUCAUCAGCUUACGAGGGUCAGUGAUAGGCUAAUCUACUCAGCUGACAGAUGUCAACUAGAAGGGGACAUCACAGGGUACGCGUUUCCAGGACGGUGAUUUUGUUUUUGUCAAUUUUGGGUACGGCAAAGGGGACGGCAAAGGGGACGACUAUAUAAAAAUAGGGAAAUUUAAAAUAUUCAUAUGAAAACAUGGAUAAAACAUGCACAUAUACAAUAUAGAACCUUAACAUAUAAAAAUCAGCAGAGUUCUUAUGGCAAAUUUGUGUUAAAUUGAGAGUCAAAGUCAAAUUGCUUAUAGAAUUCAUUGUCAAAAUUCACUGUCUAUAUGCAGAAUUUAUGGGGACGUCCCCUAAGAGUCCCUGUCUUUGGGACGUCCUCGGGAUGGGGACAUUUGAAAAAAUACCAGGGACAUGUCCCCGGGUAACGUAGAGAAUAACAUCUAGUACUCACUGAGGAUUAAUAUUUUUUUGCAAUUUAAAUCUUUGUCUUGGCAUGAGUCAUUUGUUUCACUUGGAUGUGAGUUACUUGGAGACUUUAAAAUCUUUCUUUUACUUCAAUUUCUGCUUUUUUGUAAGGUCAAUGUCUUCCCAAUCACAAUCAUGUUUGGAAUGUGUUUCAAUCUUUCUCUUCAUUGCCGCAAUUCUGCAGAGUUGGCUCAUAGUGGUUGUUGAGAAUCACAAGGCAAGUAAGUUGUAACUUUGUACAUCAGGAAUCUUGUGUUCUUUACAUUCCUGUAUUUUUUAUAACCUUUAUUCUUACCCUUGUUUACUUAUUUGGUUGGUUGUAGAAUCUCUAAAACCUCUUUGCACAGCCAAUCAUUCAAAAGUUCAAAGCCUCUGGAUUUCAUCUCCAUAAAAAGCCCAUAUGCCUCUUUGUCUAUGCCUACACUGCUACAUGCCCUGAUCAAGCUUUCAUAGUUACUUGAAUCCAAGCUAGGAUUAUUUCUGCUCUCCUGAAGUAGAAUCAAAUGUGCAUUGUCAAAUUCUCCACCUUUUACAAAUUCAUUAAGAAUAUGAGUAUACGUACCACUCGGAGGCCUAAUGCCCUCAACUUUCAUUCUUCUGAGGAGUUGGUUUGUGUAGAGUUUUUUAUUCAAGAGCAUGUCAGGGUGCUAGGAAAUCUUGUUUUCUACGUUCAGUCAUCCUGAGAAAUUAUAAUUCAGGGGUCAAUUAAUGAAGUGUGGGUAGGCCCUGUAUGAUCCCAUUAUAAGUGUUCAUAUCAAUAACUUGCAUAUAGUUGUCCCCAAAAAAUAAGUAAAUGAAAAUUUUGACCUUUCUCUUAUAUUCAUUGUGUGGAAAAUCGAUUGUGAAUCACCUUGAGCAAGAUCCAGCCAUGUCUCUCUCCGAUGUGCUGGUAUUUUUAUUGAGUCUGCUCUUGUGUAUGGGAAUUAGCAGUGUUGAAUGUAAAGGGAAUUUAAGGGCUGGAACCCCUGAUGGAUCUAAAGAGUGGGGUUAUGUUGAAGUCAGGCCAAGUAAGGCCGAUUUUACUUCAUUUUACAAGCUUUCUGAUGAUUGCUUUUAGUGGACUGACUUGUUCAGAGGCUCAUUCAGAAAAGCUUUGAUAAGAAGUUGUAUAUUGAUGUCAUUAUGUACAACAGAGGCCCACAUAUUCUGGUAGCCCUACAUCAGCCCUCAGAGAGUAGGAAUCGAUUGGCCUAUUAUUAUGUGAUUGCAGGGAGGUCCGGUGGGUGCAUGAAAUUUCUCUCUCAUUAGUACUUCAUUUUUUUUAUUGCAAACUACCAGUUUUUUUUUUGACUACAAGUUCUAUACAUAUUACUGAUACUAAAAAACCAGUCCUAUGAUCAUGUGUUUCUGACAUGAAAUCACAACAUUCAUAAAAUUUCAAAUAUUUUGCAGGGAGCUUUAGGGACUGGAAUAGGCAAUUUUCAAGAAGUUGGUCCUUUGGACACUCAAUUGUAGCCCAGAAACACAGCAUGGCUGCAAAAACCUGAUUUAGUGUUUGUGGUCUAGCAUCACCCAACAGUUGAAAGGGAAUUACAGUGAUCUUGGCUAGGGGGUAUUUUGAAUAUGGACAAAGUCGUGCAUUUUAAUCUAGGGGUGCUUAGAAUGGCCAAGGCAGGUCUCAGCAAUGCCUGCUUCACAAUGGAACUACACUAGGCAGAUUCAGCUCCUGCCAAAUUUGCUAAAUUCAGACAGUACUAAUUGGGCAUAGCUGUUGAAUGUGUUUAACAUAAUAGAUUGAAGAGCUGCAACUGGUCAUAAUGGAAGUGGAAAUUGUCCAAUGCUAAAAUGGUUUAUUGGCUGCAGAUCUCUGCAAACAUUUGAUAACCUUGUGCAAGCAUAAGCAUCAAUGUUGUAGCCCAAGAAUAUCAUCAAUAGUUUGAGAAACAUUUGAACUGAGUUUAGGAACAGUUUAGACUGCUGUUGAGUGGCAUUUCACUGCAUAGCAAUUGUGGAGAUCAUUAUAGUGAUUUUGAUAUUGAACAGUGGUCUUUGUAUGCUCCAUAGUUGAGCUCGGCUUGUAUUCUUGCAAAUUUGGUGAUUUGAACUCUGGUACAACCCACUAUAUGUUGGAGUUCUCAUCCUUUGUGGCUUUCUUCAGGAUAUGUCUUGUUGGAGAUCAUUAUAGUGAUGUUGAUAUUGAACAGUGGUCUUUGUAUGCUCCAUAGUUGAGCUCGGCUUGUAUUCUUGCAAAUUUGGUGAUUUGAACUCUGGUACAACCCACUAUAUGUUGGAGUUCUCAUCCUUUGUGGCUUUCUUCAGGAUAUGUCUUGUGUCAUUAUUGUUGUGUGGACUAUGUUUUCUCUUUCCUUAGCUGUCAUUUUGCAUGCUGCUUUAAUUUGCAGUACUAUGGAAAGCAUUCACUCAUAUGCCAAAACUAUUUUUCUAAGCAAAGCACUUAGUAAUUUAGUUUC